CGCAGCUGUGUCAGAUUCAAUGCUCACCUUUACCAUUGUGAGGAUUGGUCCAAAGUUACAGUUGCUGCAGUAACUAUCUGUAGUUCAUGAGCCUCAGAGCCCUUUGAGGACACCAAAGAUAUUGUUGCAGACAGGC